rnacentral:rRNA from 1 species
AACGAACGCUGGCGGCAUGCCUAACACAUGCAAGUCGAACGAUGCCUCCGGGCAUAGUGGCGCACGGGUGCGUAACGCGUGGGAAUCUGCCUUUCGGCUCGGAAUACCACAGGGUAACUUGAGCUAAUACCGGAUAACUUCGCCAGACCCAAGAUUUAACACCGGAAGAUGAGCCCGCGUAGGAUUAGCUAGUUGGUGAGGUAAAGGCUCACCACGGCGACGAUCCUUAGCUGGUCUGAGAGGAUGAGCAGCCACACUGGGACUGAGACACGGCCCAGACUCCUACGGGAGGCAGCAGAGGGGAAUAUUGGACAAUGGGCGAAAGGCUGAUCCAGCAAUGCCGCGUGAGUGAUGAAGGCCUGAGGGUUGUAAAGCUCGUUUAUCCGGGAAGAUAAUGACGGUACCGGGAGAAUAAGCCCCGGCUAACUCCGUG